rnacentral:rRNA from 1 species
UACGGGGGGGGGCAAGCGUUGUUCGGAAUUACUGGGCGUAAAGGGUUUGUAGGUGGCUUGUUAAGUCAGACGUGAAAUCCCUCAGCUUAACUGGGGAACUGCGUCUGAUACUGGCGAGCUUGAGUGCAGGAGAGGAACGCGGAAUUCCUGGUGUAGCGGUGAAAUGCGUAGAUAUCUGGAGGAACACCGGUGGCGAAGGCGGCAUUCUGGACUGUAACUGACACUGAUGAACGAAAGCCAGGGGAGCAAACGGGG